rnacentral:lncRNA from 1 species
ACACCAGUGGUGAAGGAAAAUGCUCCAGAUGGCAAUGGAAGAAAGGGUUUGUUUAUCUGCCAAAAAACAUAACAGAGAUUAAUAAAACACAAACAAUACAAUACAAAAGCUUUUAAGCUAUAAAAAGUGGCAGGUUUUCUUGACCACAUCAAAUAUUAAUUAAGAACCAGUUUGACAUUUUUCUACAAAACAAACUUGAGGUAAACUGCACAAGAAAUUUGUCUUUAACAUAUUUUUUAAUGGUAUAAUAAUACAAACCCUAAAAGACAUAAAAAGUAAUAACUUAUUCUGCACUCAAAUUAUUUAUUUCUAAUAGUAACUUUCAUUUACCUUGUCAAUAUCAAGAUCAUACAAUUGAUUCACGCCAUUAACAUAGAAGUCCAUUAACGUGAAAGGUAGCAGAGCCUGAAACAUUCAAAAGUCAAAAAAAAUAUUAACAAAAUUAAAGGAUUGGUUAUAGUUAAAUAACUAAAAAAAAUAUCAUUAAAUAUAAAUCAAUUUUAAAUAUAAAAAAUAAUUAGUUUUUAUAUUGUUUAAAUUAAAAACGAUUUUAGAUCUAAAUAAUUAUUGGUUUCUAAAUUAGUUUCUAUUAUUAAUAAAUAGUUUUUAAAUUAAUUUUUAUUUAAUUACUAAGGUUUUAACCACCAAUUAUUUAAAUUCUAAAUUUGGUAGCUAAUUAUAUACCAAUUUGAAAUUAUUUAUUAAUUAAAAAUAAUUUAUUAAUAAUAAAAAUUAGUUUAAAAAUCAAUAAUUUAUUUAAUAUAUAAAAGGAUAUCUAAUUUAGUUAAUAUAGUAACUAAUUUUUUUUUCUUUAAAAUUAAUUUUAUUUAAUAAUUUCUUUUAGUGAAUAUUUAAUAAAAACAAUAUAUUUAGAAUCUCACCUGUAAUACACCAAUGUAAAAUAAAGGAGAUGAUAUAUCUGAUAGUUUAUCCACUGCUAAGAAUGAUGCAGCAAUUGUGCUUAAUGUCUGUCAAACACAAAUAAAAUUGAAACAUUUAAAACAUUAGUGAUAUAACCAAAGUUUUUUUUUAAUAUAAAGUAGUGUUUCAUACAAAUAAAUUGAAUUAAGUAUUAAGCAUAACAUUAAUUUAGGAUUAUGUCUAUUAAAACAAUUGAACUUACCCGACCAAACAUUGUGUAAGGAUAGACAAACCAAUAUAACGCAACAAGAAAACGUUUUACAGAACCAACAAUGUCUUUUGAUUCAGCAGCAUCAGAUUCUUCAGACCCAAAAGAUUCUUUUGAGAUUGCUUUUGGAAUAUAUUUCUUGUUGUGUUCUUCAUAGUUGGAUCCUCCUUCAACACUUUUGAACUGAUUCUUAAUACUCAGUUGUUGGAACUUCAAAGGGUUAUAUUCUAUUUGACUUUUUCUUUGCUGCAUUGAAGUUUUUGGUGCAAAAGAAGCUACAACACAAAUGCAGUAUCAGUGACCAUGCACAACAACAGUGAAAAUGUUUGACUAGAAAACCAUUAUUUCAUAAAUAAAAGAAAUUGUUUUCAACAAUUGUCUUUAUAUACCCUUAAGUCCUUUGAAAAAUCAAAGUCACAUAUAAUUAUUUUUAUAUUUUUAAAAAAAAAAAUUCAUUCGCAUAUUCACGUUAAUUAAGAUUAAAUUAAUUCGUUGAUCAAAAUUUUCAUAGUGUGAAAGAAAAUAAAAAUUAACGCAAAUAUUUCUAUAUAUUUUUUUGUGUAAAUCAUAUGAAACACAAACACACUAUUUAAAAGUGUUUAGGACACGAAUAUAUCAUUAAAAGACUAUUAAAUAUUUUAAAAAUGAAAAAAAAAAUCAAAUAAUGUAAUUUUGAAAACCUUUAUUUUAUUACAACAGUAAAAAAAUAAGUACAUCCUUCCUUGCAAUAUUUAUAUCAAAGUUUGCAAAAUAAAGAGAGAAAAAGUAAUUUAAUCUUUACCUUUGCUUCAAUUUAUCAGAUUUCAAAGGUUAUGUAAUUAUAUGGCAUCCCAUGAAUCAAUUAUAUGGUAUCCCAUGUCUAAAGCUUAAAAUUACACAAUUAUUAUUAUUAUAUUUUAUUAUGAAGUGUAAUUUAAACCUAAUGUCCUUCACAUUCAGAGUGACAACUCAUGCAUGGGACAACAUGUGAUACGAUAUGUUUUAAAUUGUUCUGAUACCAUAUUACGAAGAAGACUUUAAACCUAACUCAAUCCCAUAAAACUGACUCAUGGAGUGAGGUUUCCAUCCAUUUAUAUACAAUGAAAUAUUUUUAUCUCUAGUUGACGUGAGAUCUCAAACAUAUUUUCUCACACCAUUACUAUGAAAGGUAAAAGUAUUUGAGUAUUUCUUUCGGAUGAAGAAAAAAAAAUGUGAAAGUAAAAUAGUUAUUAGUUAUAACAAAAAAAGAAGGUUAAUUAAAGAAAACAGAGGAAAUAUAUGUGAAACAUACUUCCAUAGGAAAAAUUCUUGGUAGAAUGUUUGCUCUGCCAGAUAUUUCCUCCUGCAAUUACGAACAGUUCAUCAUAUUAAUAACCAUAAAACUGGAAAAAAUGAUAAAAAAAAAUGGUUGAAACAUAAUAAGCAAGUAAGUGUUGUUGCAAAAGUAGAGAUAAUAGGUACCGUUUGUGAGUGAAGUGACAUUAGGAGAAAACCUUAGAGACAUCGAAGCCAUGGAAACUGAACCUUAAAACAAAAGCACUUUCUGAUGAAGAGAUAAACAAACACAGCCUAGUACUGGAGAAGACAAGGGGAAGAGAGAGAUUUAUAUACUACACUCAGUUUCACAUAACUUAUUAAUAAAUUCCAUUUCUUGACCAUUCUUUCAAAGAUAAACAAACACAUUAAUAAUAUAAUAUAACGAACGAGUAAAUAGCCGCCGUAGAAAAAAUUGGUCUACAAUUUCAUUAGUUCAAAGCUGCUCAAAAUUAAUUUUAAUUAUUAUCCUUAAAAUAUUUGUUAAUAUAUUUAAUAUUUAAUUAAAAAGAUCAGCGUUGUCAUUUUUGAACCAUGUUUUAAAAAUUCCAUUUAAUUUGGGCAGCGAUUGAAUUAUAAUUUCAAACGGCACUGUGGAAACUACGUCUUCGUCAUCGUUGUCCUCAGAUAUUCAAUACACGUCAGCACUUGGAUUCAAGAUUGUUACACUUGUUGAAAAAGUCUACAUGAAUCUUAUUCAUUCUUUUUAAGAUUUUAGGUUAAUGAUAUAAAUCAUAUUACAAUUUUCAAUAUUAUUAUUUUAAUAUUUUUAUAUUAUUUAAUUUUUAUUAUAUAUAUAUAUAUUUAUAUCUAAAUUAAUCACAUUAAAAAUUAUAUAAAAAAAUAUCAUUUCUUUUUAAUAUAAAACUUUGACAAAGUUUCAUUGCCAUUUUUAGUAACCUGCAGAAACACAUUCGCACACGUUAUUUCCAUUUUUAAAUCUUACUAAUAUGUGUAUCAGUAUUUUUUAAAUAUUAUUUUAAAUUUAUUAUAAUAUUUUAAUACUUGUAUAAUAAUACAAUGCAUAUAAAGAAGAUAGAAGAAAUAGAACACAAUCAUAUAAUUUUAAAUUUAAAUUUAAUAAAGAGAAUAAUGUUUUGUAGAGAUUAAUCAAAAUAUAGAAAAAUAUAGAAAAAGAAAGAAAAUUGAAAAUGACAGUGUAUGUAUGAAAAUAAAAGAAAAGGAAAGAAUGAGAGUAGGAAUGGAGAAAAGAAGAUGAAGUUUGGAAUACGUUAUUUAAAUAAUGUUGUAACUGAUAACUUUGAAGGAAAAAAAAUUAUUAAAUUGAGAAUAGAUAUUUUUUUAUGAAUAAAAUUGAAAAAAAGUUAUUAAAUUGAUAUAUUAAAUUAAUUAUUAUUUUUUGGAAAUAAAAAUCAAAAAAUUGUGUAAAUAAAUUAUAAGGACAAUCUUCGUUAUAUAUUGUUAUAAAUAAUUCAAUUAAAAUUGGAUAAUUAUAUUAAUAAAAAAAUCAUUAAAUAUAUUUACGUAUAUCUCUGAGUUUACUAAGUAUAAUAUUGUUUUAAAUUUUAACGUUUAAUUAUAUGAUCUAUUUAUCUUUUAGAAUUAAUUUUUUAAAUGUAGAAGGUUAGAUUAUUAUAUUUGCUCAAAAAAUCCCACGACUUUAUUUAUUUAUUUAUUUUGUUGACUUCUUCCUUAUUGGUGGCUAUUUCGGCACUCGUUUGGCUAGAUGAGUGUUUUUGCUCCAAAGUUUCACAACCUUACUUUUACUUGUAUUUCAAAAAGUGUGCUGUAGAAAAUAUUUAAGUCCUCUGUUCAGUCUUUCCUCUUUUAAAAUUAUUUUUUUAUUUUAAUAAUAUAAAACUGAUAACAUGAAAUUUGACUUUUUUUUAAAAGAAUAGUCUAACUAUUUAUGUGAGGUUAACUUCAGAAAAUAUUCAAAAUAGUUAAUAUUUAAUGUUCAAAGUAAGUAAAAUGAAAAUUGUAUUUAUAUUUUUGAAACGAUUUAAGUAGUUGUUGAUAAACCUUAUCACUAAUCAAAGAUUCUUGAAUAACAAUUGGACUGAUUUUAUUACCCUCAUAAAUAUUGAAAUCUUAGCUUAAACCUUAAACAAUUAAAAGGAUUGUGAAUUUGGAAUCAUUAAUGAGUGGACAAAGUUUUUGUACGAAACACAAGUCUAUAUGAAGUAGAUUAGUCUAAUGUGUGAAAAUUAAAAAAAAAAGUACAUUCAUUAAUGCAAGAACGUGAACAAGUGGUGCAAGUUAACUCACACAUAAGUUAACUCACACAUGUUCAAGGCAAUUUUGACAAAAAGGCAAUUUUGACAAAACGAACAUAGUUUUUGAGUUUGAAUGCUCAUUUAGUGUUGAAAAAAAUGAAAGAUAUAGUUAACUCUAGAAAAUGGGGUUUGAAUAGAAAUGUUAUGGAAAAAUUUCACAUGUUGAUGAGGUUGUUUAUUGGUGUUCUCGAACGGGUUGGAAUCAAGAGAGUGAUUCAAGUUGCUCUUCUACCCCCUCGGUCAGUCGGUCAACACUUAUAUUCCUCUCCAAGCAAGCUCCUCACUCUCCUCUUCUCACUCUGCCUCUCGGUCUUCACAAAGUUUAGACUCGGAUGAUACCUGUAAAAGGCACUUCGAUGCUCAAGUCAGAAUUGAGUAUUCGACAGUCGGUACUCUGAGCAUUGUAUAAUGACGUACAUGAUUCUUGGAUUUUGUGCUUAUUUAUAUGGUUAUUAUGGGUUUUUUCUUAUUGGAUCAGAUUAUGGAGUUGGGUCAUGUUUAGAAGUGUAUACCUAGCUCUUAAUUGUUAAUUAACCUCACUAAUUCUACUUAGGCGUAAUUGACUUUGCGGUGUCGGUCGGUGCAAUGACUGGGUGCAAAGUCAUAAUCUCGAUCGUACGGACCCAACCUGUACAAUAGGUUUUGAAAUAAGUUCAAAAACUUUUCUUACAAGCCUUUGAAAGGAUAACUAAGAGAAACGUUAUAAGUAAUGAAAAAAGCAAUGAACACUUUACAUUGGUUCAUCUCAAAUUGUGGUACAUAAUAUUCUCAUUUGCAACCUAUAAAAGAUUUCACUAAUCAUAACAAAUUACACUUUACAUUGGUUCACCUCUUUAGGCUAUCUACUAAUCUCCCCCUUAGAUUUAGCACUAUGUACACAACGUAUUUCUAAUCAAACACAUAAAGUAUGUUUGGAGUAUACAACAAUAAAGUUGUUUUUACAAGAUAAACACUCGCUAGAGAGGAUAAACAAAUAAUGAUCCUUUAUUCUAGAGUCUUAAAAUUAAUUGAAUGAAUGAUUUAUAAAAUGAUAACUCGUUAUGCAUGAUUCAUCAAACACACUACUUUGAUUAAGCACUUAGAAACCUCAAACCUUAUUCACAUGCAAUAUUUACAUAAGACUACUUUGAUUAAGCAUUUCAGAACCUCAAACCUUAUUCACAUGCAAUAUUUACAUUAGACGUAAAGGUCUUCUUUUAUAGACAUCUCAGAUUAGACCACUGAAGUUUGUGUAAUGUAGCUUGUCCUGGUGUUAGCGCCUUUUUAUAACAUGUUCGACUUUAGGUUGACAUAUUUUGUUGUUACAUUCAAUUGACUUAUUUUGUUGUUACAUUCAAAGUGCUAUAUAAAGGACAAUAUUUUCCAUCUUACUUUUUUGUUGUUUUGGCAACACUAUUUUAAUUAUAGUCAUAUAGUAUGUGUGUUAUGUUAAAUUCAUCCCUGGGAUGUGUUGUUGAGUAGCUUUACAUAAUUUUUACAAGUCUUGCACUUUGUAAAGUUUCUUCUAUUAAACACAUGUAUAUUGUCUCUAAGGUUUAUUGAAUCUUGUGACUUUUGAAUAUGUAUCUUGAUUAUGUCUUAGGCCUUCUCUCUUCUCUCACACCGAAUGUAGUAAUUUCUUUCUCUUGUUGAAUUUAAAAACUUUUGAAUUCUAUUAAAACACAUAAAAACAUAGUUUUACCUAAAAUUGAAACUAUCAAUUUUAACCGAUUCAAACUUCAUUUUAAUAUUUUGAUAUCACUUAAACUAAAAAAAUAAACUAAUUCAAGUUUUUAAUAUAUCAAGACUACAACCUUCUAAAACUUAAGAAAUUUAGUCUAUUGAAAACUAGUUUUAGCUUACUGAAAAAUCUUUACAUAACCUCUGAAAAUCUUAACUGGUUUUAACUAAUUGAUUUGAUAUGUCAACUAGUUAAAAUAUUUACUUUAGUCUUUAAAGACUCUCGUUAAUAAUAUUUUAAUAGAUUAAAUUAUCAAUUCAACCAAUUAAAGUUCUCUUAAUAUUAUCACCAAGUUCCAAACAAUUUAUAAAAUAUUUUGAAACCAUUCUUGGAUCAAUUAAGCUUGGUAAGGGAUAAGUAUAGACUCAUACAUAGAAAUCAAACGCACACACUAAAAACAUAAAGUCUUCAUUCUUCACUUGGUGACGUAGAUCACUCAGUUUUUUUAUUGUCACUUUGAGUGUAUCCAUCUAAUAGUCUAUGUUGACAACAUUGUUCUUAUAGGAAAUGAUCAUCAUGGAAUCUCACAAGUAAAACAACACCUUUCUCACCAUUUUUAAACCAAAGAUAUUAACAAACUCAAAUAUUUCUUAGUGAUUGAAGUAGCACAAUCCAAUAUUGAUAUUGUUAUCUCUCAACGAAAAUAUACAUUGGAUCAUUGAAAUUUACUGUUGCUCGUCUUGAUAUUACCUUUGUAGUUAGUGUGGUGAGUUAAUUUCUUAAUUCCUUCAUGUGAAGAUCAUUGGAAUGUAGUCUUUUGUAUACUGAAGUACAUUAAAGGCCUCCUAGAAAAAGUUUGUUAUAUGGUCAGAAUAAGCAUACUAAAGUCGUCUAUUAUUCAGAUCGUUUGAUAAAAGAUUUGUUUUUGGAUAUUAUGUCUCAAUUGGUAAUAACUUGAUCUCUUAGAAAAGAAAGAAACACAAUAUUACGACGAUAUCUAAUGAAGAAGCAUAAUACAGAGUUGUAGUUGUUAGAAUUUUAGGCCUUAAACAAGAGGGGGGUGAAUUAUUUAUAAAAGACUUUCGCAAAUAUUGAAGGUAUAGAGAAAGCCAAUGAAGAAUCAAAGAAAGAGAAACCAAGUUAGACAAGAAACAAAUCUAUUUUAUUAUGUUUCCAGAAAAUCAACCAGUUGCUUAUGCGAUUCAAACGGUUGUUUUCAUCAGCAGUUAAUAAAAACAAACCAAAACAGACUUAAAUGAGAUUAAGGAUUAAAAGAAUCACACAACAAAUUUAUACUGGUCCACUCUUAUCCAAGAGCUACAUCCAGUCCCCAGAACCACUAGGUAUUCCACUAAGUAAUCAAUAACCUUGAUUACAAACCACAUACAAAAUAGGUGAUCUUGAACCCUUCAAGAACACACACCUCCUUUGGCAAACAACACACCACAGAUCACAGAUCACCCUCUAGAUCUGCACAGAACACGUUUACCCAGAAUUACAAUAUUCAAGAGAGAAAAGGAAUGAUCACACAUGAUACAAUCACAGAUUGAAUUCAAAAGUUACAAAACAAUCAUAUUUCACUCUUAGAAAAUCCAAAGCUUGAAGCAAAUCUUGGAGAAAACUGAUUUGAAAGAUUUAAUCUGAUAUCAUUACUACCAGGAGCGUAAAACAGAUUAUUUAAACUCUAAAAGGUUGUUAAAAAUAUUUAAUGAAAGAGCCAAAUCAGUUUUGAAUCUAUUUACCAAACUUAACAAAUUUUGUUGAGGAUUUUCAAAAAACAAUCGGUUGAAAUGUUGAAAUAAUCGAUUGAAUUGGUUUGACAGCAAGGUAAACCAAUUUCAAGCUUUGUCAAAACCUGUUUCAAAAACACUUAGUGUAAAACAACUAGUUGAAACGAUAAAAAAACAGGUUGUUUUUUCACUUCUUUAGAAAACACUUUUUUUCAAAAGAAUUUGAUUUAAACCAACUUUGGAUCCUAACUAAAGUGGAUUUACAAAUUCAAACUACCCAGAAUCCACACACACAAGCAGUUCAAGCAAUCCACACAGAUUUGGAGACAUCAAAGCUCAUGUUCAACAAUCUCCCCCUAUUUGAUGAAGACAAAUCUCUGGUUUGCUUGUGUUGUUGUGUUUGAAUUUGAAAGCACCUGCAAAAUCGAAAAUGUGCAUGUACCAAAGAGCAAUCAUAUCCAGGUUUCACUUGCACCAAUGAACCAAUUUUCACUGUGAUUUUCAUAAAGAAAACCAGCAAAAUCAGUAUGAGUGAGGUGCAUAAUUAGAGUUUUUACAACAACAUACUAAACCAGUUUAAACUUGGAGAAUUGCAAUUUGAAGAGGUAAAUCAUAUGACACAUUUAUGUGAUAAUCAAGUUGCUCUUUGUAUUAGCUCAAAUCCCAAUUUUUAUGAAAGGAUCAAACAUAUUGAGAUUAAUUGUUAUUUUAUUUGAUAAAAUAUUGUGUAGAGAGAUACCAAGACGGAGUUUGUUAAUUCAAAUUAUCUAUUAGCAUAUCUUCUUACUAAAUAUUUAACAUGGUGUGUUGGAUUGAUUAUAUUUAUAACAAGCUGAGUAUGUACAAUUUAUAUGCACCAGAGGGGGAGUGUUAGAUAUUUCUAGAUGUUAGAUAUUUUUGUCUAUGUCAUUAGCUUAGUCCAUAUUUUUAUAUAUUUUUUCUCUAUAUAAACAUAACCUUAUGUGCUCAAUAAAGACAAAAGAUUUAUCCUAUUUUUUCUUUUCUUCUAUUUUAAUAAGUUUAUAAGUAUUUGCAGGUUAUUAAAACAAAUUAAAAUAGAAUAAAAAAUAUUUUCAUUCAAAAUAGUUCGUGAUGCUAAAAGUAGAAUACUUAAGAUUUUCAAUCAAUGCAUUUAUUUUAAGUUUUAGAAAUAUAUACAAAUAUAUCCAAAAAUAUUUUCAAGAUAUAAUUUCAACAAAUCUAUUUAGAAAAUGAUAGAUUUAAAGAUAUACUAAAAUCAUGGUCAAACAAAGCCGGUUAAAAAAAUCUUCCACAAAACACGCAGUUUGAAAUCUUUUUAUUCUUUAUAUAUAACUUUGAUUGAAGAAAUUUUUAACCCAUAAUAUAUAUAUAUAUAUAUAUAUAUAUAUAUAUUACUAAGUAUUUUAGUUUAUUUUUUUUAAAUCUAUUACUCGUUUAGUUCAUUCAUAAGACCAUCUAUCACAAAUGAUAUAUCAAACCAUCUAUUAUAAAUAUAUAUUCAUAAGAAUUUAUUGGAUUUAGGGUUUAAUAUAUUUAUAUUAUUUUUUGUUAUCAUCAAAAUAUAAUAAAAUUCACAUAUGAUUAAAAUAUAAAUAACACAUGAUCUUCUGGUCAUCCAACCAAUUUUUUUUUUUUUAUGGCAAUAGGUCAUCCAACCAUCUAAUGUGGUAUAAAUUGUCUAUGGUCUCAAGAGACUAUCUAGAAUUUGAAAAGAAUACACCCAUAGAGAUAUUAACUAAAUUAGAAGAAAAUGCAUCCUUUUUUAGACCAUUUCAAUUCUUGCAAGCACAAUUUUUUAUUGUAUUUAAUUCUCAAUUUUAAAAAUAUGUCAAAAUACUGUCACAUUCCAUUUUAUAUGAUGUCCCGAAACUGAUAUCUUUUUCAAUAAUGCAAAAAAGCUAUAAGUUCCAUGCAUAUGUUUCCCUCAGUUUCACUCUAUUAUAUUAAAAUAACAAAAAUUAUAGAUAACAGAACUAAAAAUUUAACAAAAUUGUCUAAAAACAAAUCUAGGAAGCAAAAUUGUGUUAAAAGAAAUUUAGACAACAAUAUUACAUAUAAAUACAAGUUUAAAGAUUAAAAUUACAGAAAAGAAAAUUAAGAACCAUAUUAUUAUUUUAUAAAAUACGAAGACCACAAUCACAACUACACCUAAUUUUACUUAAAAAAAAUUUAAUGCAUAUUUGACUAAAGUAGUUUUUAGAGCACUCUUUUGCCAUUAUCAUGCCACUAUUCUCAAUUCUGCUCUGACCCACCAACCCAUGCUGCUCACAUGGAUCUUCAUUGUUUAGAAAUCUUCCAACUUGACCUAAAAGCAUGUAGCAUGUGGAUUCCAGAGAGAUUUUAAUUUGGAAAAAGAAGAAGGAAAAGGGAACAUAAUCCUUCUAAUAGUCAAAAGAAAUGGCGUAGCAUAUUAAUUUUUAAAAGUUUUCUUUGAAUUGGGUUUUUUAACUUUUGAUUCAAGUUAUAUUGCAUCCUUUGCUUGUGAGUUGAUAUUAUGAAUCGUAAAUUGUUCCGUGAGUUGUAAGUUUGAUAAACAUUAAAAAAUUUAAUAUAUACUUAAAUAUAUAAAAUAUCUAUACAUGCAAGAUACAAUAAAUUAUAUAUAUAUAUAUAUAUAAUUAUAUAUAUACCACACAAUUUUACCUAAACAAUCUCUAAAAAAAAUAAUGUGUUACAUACAUGUUAUUAAACAAAUUUUGUUUAUUUUUUUUAUUUACUCAUUUUUUAAAAUCCACACUGAUUCACACAAUACGAAAUAGUUUCGUUUUGCGAUUCAUCGUGUGAAUCGCACGAUAUAUCUAAGAUUCAGGGACGAAAAAGAUUCUUCAAGAGAUUCGUAUCGUGGGAGGGUGAAACUAUAUUGUUUCAUACAAUACGUAUCGUGAAUCGUAAGAUAUUAAUUACUAUGAUUUUGACAAUGGCAGCACUUCCAAACAUAUCAACAAUAUAUGCAACAAAAUAUAGAAACUACUUAGGAUUAUGAGACCAUUUUGUUUUGACAUGUUAAUAGGCAAAAACAUAAAUAUAAAUGUCAGAAAUUUAAGGAUUAGAAGAAAAUUUUGAGGCCUAAUGGCCUUAUAUAUGGCACUCAGAUUAAAUUAUUCCUUCAAUAAAGUCAAAGAGUGAGAGCUAAAAUACAGAAAGCAUCAUAUAUCUAUAAUAUGACUCAUUCUUAUUAGACACCAAAAUAGUUUAGGAAAGGAAAUAUGAUUCUACUAGAUCAAGAACAUUGCAAAGAAAAUAUCAUAUGAAAUUUAAAUGUUCUCUUCUCUCCCAAUUGAUUUAUCUUUACUUGCUGAUAGGUUCCUUCACGAUAGUCACAGGGCAAGAAGCAUGGGCCAUCACAAAGUUGCUUACACUUCCCAAAAUGAUCCUGUUUUUUCAAUACAAAAUAGACAUGUCAAUUAGACUCAUAUUUCAAUAACAUGGGAAAUAUAUGAGAUUAAUAUAAUUUUAUAUAAAAUUAUCAUACUAAGAAGAUUUUGAAAAAAAAAAAUUACUUGUAUAAAUAAGUCAUACGAUUUUAAUAAAAAAAAAGUUGUACUCUAGUAUACCAUUUAGUUUCUGUACAACUUUUUUUACAAGUUUUAAAGAAAAUUUUCUUUUUCUACAGAAGUCUUUCUGACUAUUUUAUUUGAUAUAUAUUACACAAAUCGCUCUAGAGUAAUGAUUUCUGAUUAAAUCUUUCUACUUAUUACUCCAAAGAAGUCAUGUUUUCUCCUAACAGUUCCAUAUUCUUAACUGGUGUUAUUUUUAUACUGUGUUUUCAAAAUAUACUGAUAUAUUAAAAAAAAUUAUAUACCAAAAUCAGUAUAUUUUGAAGACAUACUAAAGGGUCAACACCAAAACUCAAGAUUAGAGAAUCUUGAUUAUGAUGAUUCAUAACUUAUAACAUAACAAGUGGUGAAAUUGUUGGUAAAAACAAAUCCAAGGGAAUAGUGCAAUAUUGAAAGCUAAUAUAAAGGGCACUUGUAUUUAAUUUUGUUGUUGUUAUGAAGUCUCAAAGUCCUUGCUGAGUCCAAUUGUAUUAUUUACUAAGACUUUAUCUCUCUUUCUCUCUUCUCUCCUUCCCUCCCUAAGUCUGCAUCUCUUUAUCUCCCUCAACCCAUUGAAAUUUAAGGCAAGAGAGGUGGAAUCUCUCCAUGAUUCAAAUCCAAAUAGGAGCUUCUCCUCCCACAAGCCACUAGUUCUCAACUCUUUCCCUAAAGACAACAACAACAACAACCUCAACAACUGAAGAGGCCAACACAAGUGGAAACAUCCCAACAUGGAUGCCGCAAUUACCAGAAACAGAUUUCUUCAUCUCCUCCAAACAACACCACCACCUCCACCAUCUCCUCCCAACAACAACACCACCUCCACCAUCUCCUCCCAAGUCAACCUUACCUCCGAUGAUAAGAGGGCCCACAUCGAUGAGAAUCACUUCUUUGGAAUUGAAAAGAAAAAUUAAACAGGUAACUAAAACAUUAGACAAAGACUUCAGUUCAAACAAAUUAAGCAAAGACUACUUACAGGUAAAUUUUCUCAAAAUUUAUCCAUUUCCUUAAUUUUUGUGUACAAUCGCAGCCAUUUAGUUUUUUCUUUGCCAAAAUCUAUCUAUUGUCUUAAUUUUUGUAUAAAAUUGCAACCCUUUAGUAAAUGUCCCAAUAAAUGCAGAUGAUAAAAAUCCAUGGCAUUAAUGGCAACAGAAAAGUCACACUACAACAAAAGAUAAAUGAAAAACAAAUAUCUAUCAAUGCAAAUACAUCUCUUUGAAACAAUCGGUGGGAGAUGCUGAAAAAUAGAAUUCGGGGACAAAAGUGGGCA